GGUCCUCUCUUUUCAUUGCUCAAAAAGGAAAUGAGAUCUUUUGGGGAAGACACUGCCGUUGAAUUCUGUUUGACAGGUGAAGGACUACCCAUGACUAUUAGUCUUUGUGUAGCUGGUGAAGAGGACACUGAAUCUACCACCGGAGAUACCCUAUCGCAUGGAAGCCCACAAAAUUCACUACGCUCACCAUUGUUACUACAUAGGGCUUCACUGUUUUCUACCACAGAAGCAUCCUUGACAGACAUAUUAUUUUCACCAAAAUCAUUACUUAACUGCUUCAGUGACUGGUUUACUCUAUCGUCAUUAUUAUCCGGGGCUGGAACAGUGGAUCUAAGUGAUGAUUCACCAUCAACAACACGAGAAAGAAACUUAUAGCCAUCAUCUGCGUCAACUUUCUGGCACAAAGGUUCAAGUGGCAUUUUAAGACUACCAAUUGCAUUUGC
rnacentral:misc_RNA from 1 species